rnacentral:rRNA from 1 species
AUGGGAACGUGCCUUUUGGUUCGGAACAACUCAGGGAAACUUGAGCUAAUACCGGAUAAGCCCUUCGGGGGAAAGAUUUAUCGCCAUUAGAGCGGCCCGCGUCUGAUUAGCUAGUUGGUGGGGUAAAGGCCCACCAAGGCGACGAUCAGUAGCUGGUCUGAGAGGAUGAUCAGCCACAUUGGGACUGAGACACGGCCCAAACUCCUACGGGAGGCAGCAGUGGGGAAUCUUGCGCAAUGGGCGAAAGCCUGACGCAGCCAUGCCGCGUGAAUGAUGAAGGUCUUAGGAUUGUAAAAUUCUUUCACCGGGGACGAUAAUGACGGUACCCGGAGAAGAAGCCCCGGCUAACUUCGUGCCAGCAGCCGCGGUAAUACGAAGGGGGCUAGCGUUGCUCGGAAUUACUGGGCGUAAAGGGAGCGUAGGCGGACUGUUUAGUCAGAGGUGAAAGCCCAGGGCUCAACCUUGGAAUUGCCUUUGAUACUGGCAGUCUUGAGUACGGAAGAGGUAUGUGGAACUCCGAGUGUAGAGGUGA